AUUGAAUACGUCAAAGUAAAAAACUACCACCUCGUAUUGACUGUCGUUUAAUUAUUUUCAAGAUUUAGAGGAAAGCUUUGGCAUCCUGUGUAAGGAUCAGUAACGACGAGAUCUGGAAACAUUGGCUUUGGAAACAGAAGCACACUUCUUUAGUCAAGGAGCCAUUUGGCUAGAUGGUGUACAAAUUUGUACAUCGAUGGCUUUGAUCUCAAAUAUUAUUAUCUAAAACCUAUCAAGAUGACAUCAGAUGAUGAUGAUUAGUCAGAUCAAAAAAGUAUACAAAAUGAUUGUAAUAAUGUUAGAUGGUAAAAAUAAAAUACUGCCCUAAAAAAGUA